ACGACCUUACUUGAACAGGAUCUGUUCUAUAGGCUCGUACCUCUGUAUCCUUGAGUUCUAAGGAGACAGGAAACCAAGCCUGGUGGAUGAACUAUGGCCAAGGGACUAGAGCGUGAUUAGCAGUUCCAAACCUUCACUGGGCAGAACUGUAGAGGAUCGUUCUCAGCCAUGGUUACAUGUGGUUGUGAUGGUCUCUUGGCUGUCUGACAGGCU